rnacentral:rRNA from 1 species
CGGGCGUAGCAAUACGUCAGCGGCAGACGGGUGAGUAACGCGUGGGAACGUACCUUUUGGUUCGGAACAACACAGGGAAACUUGUGCUAAUACCGGAUAAGCCCUUACGGGGAAAGAUUUAUCGCCGAAAGAUCGGCCCGCGUCUGAUUAGCUAGUUGGUGAGGUAACGGCUCACCAAGGCGACGAUCAGUAGCUGGUCUGAGAGGAUGAUCAGCCACAUUGGGACUGAGACACGGCCCAAACUCCUACGGGAGGCAGCAGUGGGGAAUAUUGGACAAUGGGCGCAAGCCUGAUCCAGCCAUGCCGCGUGAGUGAUGAAGGCCCUAGGGUUGUAAAGCUCUUUUGUGCGGGAAGAUAAUGACGGUACCGCAAGAAUAGGCCCCGGCUAACUUCGUGCCAGCAGCCGCGGUAAUACGAAGGGGGCUAGCGUUGCUCGGAAUCACUGGGCGUAAAGGGUGCGUAUGCUGGUCUUUAAGUCAGGGGUGAAAUCCUGGAGCUCAACUCCAGAACUGCCUUUGAUACUGAAGAUCUUGAGUUCGGGAGAGGUGAGUGGAACUGCUAGUGUAGAGGUGAAAUUCGUAGAUAUUCGCAAGAACACCAGUGGCGAAUGCGGCUCACUGGCCCGAUACUGACGCUCAGACACGAACGCGUGCGGAGCAAACAUGAUUAGAUACCCUGGUAGUCCACUCCGUAAACGAUGAAUGCCAUCCGUUAGUGGGUUUACUCACUAGUGGCGCAUCUCACGCUUUAAGCAUUCCUUCUGGGGAGUACGGUCGCAAGAUAGAACUCAAUGAAUUGACCUGG